UCGCCGGCGAUAAUCGCCACCCUCCAACAGCCAGCCGGAGAGCAGCAGAUCCGGCCACCAGCCAGCAGCCGCUGGCAGCGUUCCUCUUCCCCGCCUCUCUCCCUCUUUCUCGCCUUUCCUCCCUCCUCCCUUUCUCCCUCUCUCGCGACCCCUCUCCCUUUCCCUUUCCCUUUCCUUGUUCUAUCUUCCCCUCUCGCCUUCCUUGCCGCCUCCCCGCGCCUCCCAUCAUUGUCAGCAGCAGCAGUCCCCGACGACAACUCCUGCGCUCGGCCAGCAGCUGCGAA
rnacentral:misc_RNA from 1 species